AGUGAACGCUGGCGGUAGGCCUAACACAUGCAAGUCGAACGGCAGCACAGUAAGAGCUUGCUCUUACGGGUGGCGAGUGGCGGACGGGUGAGGAAUACAUCGGAAUCUACUUUUUCGUGGGCGAUAACGUAGGGAAACUUACGCUAAUACCGCAUACGACCUACGGGUGAAAGCAGGGGAUCUUCGGACCUUGCGCGAUUGAAUGAGCCGAUGUCGGAUUAGCUAGUUGGCGGGGUAAAGGCCCACCAAGGCGACGAUCCGUAGCUGGUCUGAGAGGAUGAUCAGCCACACUGGAACUGAGACACGGUCCAGACUCCUACGGGAGGCAGCAGUGGGGAAUAUUGGACAAUGGGCGCAAGCCUGAUCCAGCCAUACCGCGUGGGUGAAGAAGGCCUUCGGGUUGUAAAGCCCUUUUGUUGGGAAAGAAAAGCAGCAGGUUAAUACCCCGCUGUUCUGACAGUACCCAAAGAAUAAGCACCGGCUAACUUCGUG
rnacentral:rRNA from 1 species